GCCCCGAUGGUGAAAUUGGUAGACACAAGGGACUUAAAAUCCCUCGACUUCGGUUGUGCCGGUUCGACCCCGGCUCGGGGCACCA
rnacentral:tRNA from 1 species